UAUAUAAAAGAAAGAAAAAAAGCACUAAAAGGGCAAAGAAGUUAAAAAAAAAAAAUAAAGGAAAGAGUUAUUGUUGGGGGCAGUAGCAGUCCUGCAAUCUCUGCUGAGAUGAAGAGCCAUUUUGAAUGUGUGGGCAGCUGAUGAUUAAUGGCUCUUUGUCAUUAUUAACUUUGGAGUUUUUAGAACUGUAUAUUAUUAUACUGAUUUUGGGAGAAAGAGAAGAAUUCUUGUGGAUUUUUCUUGGAGCUAAUAAAAGAAAAUUUCUGCCAUUUUCUUUCGUUCUUAAAGAGAGACAUAUAGAGGAUUAUUGGACCACUAAAUUAAAGAAAAGAAAGAGAGAGAGAGGGUGAAAGUCAGAUAUAUAAAUUUGAGUUCUUAAUUGAAAUAAUGAUGUCUUUUGCACUACCUUUUAUAAAGAGAAUAGAAAGGAGAAGAAGGCCAUCAAAUGCGCCAUAUAAUAUCAUUAACUUAUUUCAACCAAAAUUUAAUUAUCAUUCACAUAAAAACAUCCUUUUCUUUCCCUCUCCUUCCACCUCUUUUUCUCUUUCCUUUUUUGUUACCCGUAAAUAAAUAUUAUUAGUUUACAAAAUAUUUCGCAAAAUAAUCUACUUUCAAAAAUAUUUAUUGAAAUAUUAUUGAUUUGUACUCUAGGAGAGCUUCAAACCCAAGACUUCUUAUUCUCUCUUCUAUAUCUUGGGUUCAAUGUAAGACAUAGGAGAGAGAGUAAGAAGGUUCUCUUCAUUCAAAUACUCUUCUCUCCUUCUUAUUUUCUCUCUUCAAGGUCCGAUUUUCAACCCAAGAUGAUGAAAAAUCAUCGAUGGUAGAAAAAUCAUCAUCGAUGAAGAUAAUUGGAUCUCUUAAGAAGGGUUGGGCAAAUCGGUCCGUGUAUGCCUAUGAUCUUGAGGGGAAGAGAUUUUUGUGUCUUAUCUAUAUUGAUGUAUGGGUGUUGGAAUGAAGAGAUGUUACGUCGGUGCGUCUUUGUGGAAUUGGUUGUGAUCUCUAUCCUCAAUAUUUCACGUGGUUGCAUAAUUCUAAAGACGAAAUUUUCUAGUGCCUGAACUCGAAAGGAAUUUUUUUGGUGAAGAGUGUCUAUCAUCUUGCUUCUAAAUCAAGUGACAUCAAAGAAGCUUCCCCGUCCAAUGAAAAUUUUCAAAGGGAGAGUUGGAAGGUGUUUUAGAGUAAUAAGACGCUUCCUAAAGCUAAAAUCUAUGUGCAGAUUGUUAAAAGGCAUAAUCCCUUCUAAGUUAAAUUUAUGGAAGAGAGAAAUUACUAAUGAGUUGACUCUUUUUGUUGUUUUUGUAGGAAUUUUGAGGAGAUUGUUAUGGAUAUUAUGUGGAAUUGGACAAGGGAAACCCUCUAUUUCUAUGAAAUUGGACAAUGGUGGAAAUCUUAACCUCAGAGAAGAUUGAGAAGGUCAUUAUCAUUUGGUGUGGAGUUCAAUUGAGUAGAAACCGAUGGACUGUAAAUGAGUAAAAAAGUAUCCCACCUUUGAGCAUCUGUAUGGAGUAAGCAUGCAACAUUAAUAGAAGAGCGCUCUUUGAAUUUUCUAGUUCUUGCUCUUCCAUAUUGCAACUUUUAGUAAAAAAAAGUUGAUCGAUUCACACUUCUUGGGAGCCUCCUAGUCUUGGAUGUAAAUAAAAUGUGGAUGCUUCCUAAUGUGUGAAAAGUGGGUGGGGCGAUAUUGGUUGGAUCAUCACCCUUUUGGUUUUGUGAUUGGGGUGGGCAUGCAAAAAUUUAUCAAACAUUCAUGAUGCUUGUGUAAGCAAACCAUUGGUUUGAUUCUUGAUUUUCGUGCUAUUAUUAGGUGGUGUGCACAUAAUAUAUGCUGGUGUUGUGUUGACGUCUGGUGUAAAUGGAAAGGAAUCCAAAAAAUUCUUGAGUGAUGUAGAUGGAGUGAACAUCACAGUAGCCUGAAUGCAAGAUGCUAGUGAGAGUGAAUCCCAGUAAUUUUGGCAAAGGGAGGAUUCAAGAUGUGUGACUUCUGUGAUGUGCGAAAAGAAGCGUUGAAAGCUUGUGUUUAUAAACUAGAAAGUGCCUUACGUGACUUCUUUGUAUUUCCAAAAAAAGGAAUUUCUAGAACUCUCACUCACUAAGUCUUUGACUUAUGUUUUAAGUUUUUCCCUCCCCAGGUUGUUCGGUAUUAAGGUCAUGCGAAGGUUAGUCAUGAGGCUAUGUAGCCAAGUUAAGGAGGAAAAACAGAGUUGUUUUGUGGUCUUAUGUGGCAUGUUCUUCAUGUCAUCUUAUCUUAAGUCUAAGGAGCCGGUUGGUAAGCGGAUUGCUCCUUAACGUAGAAGAUUCAGUUCCAAGGAAAGGUGAGCACAACAUCAUAGUUGGUAAGAUCCAGCAAAGGAGUUGGUGAGAGAGCCAAAUGAUUGAGUCAGGAAAAGGAAGCCCUAAGUGCUGUCUUUGGGAUGGGUCAUUGGACAUCCGAGGUAAUGGAAGAACUGGAGCCUUCACAGCAUUGGGUGGCGAGAAAGCCUAAGGUGCAUUGUUACACGAUGAGGUGAGCAAGCUAGACGUCAUAGUUGAAAAAGCUAUGAUACACAAUGAGGUCCUAACUUUAUGAUAGGUCUCGUUGUUAGGAGAAAUUUAAUCUUUAUUCAUGUAAAAGUGUUAAGUUAAUAAAGAGAAGUUUUGUAUUCAUUCUGCUGUAUUAUCUUUGUCUUUCGCAUAAAUGGAUAAAAGUAAAAGAGAAUGCAGUAUCAAGGAUACAUUAGUAACAA